UGGCUCAGUUUUAGAGCAUGGCACUUGUAAUUCUAUGGUUGGGGGUUCGAUUCCCAC
rnacentral:tRNA from 1 species